rnacentral:rRNA from 1 species
GACGAACGCUGGCGGCGUGCCUAAUACAUGCAAGUCGAACGCAGUGGGGACGGGUGAGUAACACGUGGGUAACCUCCCAUCAGAGGGGAUAACACUUGGAAACAGGUGCUAAACCGAUACUGAUGGAUGGACCCGCUGUGCAUUAGCUAGUUGGGGAGGGAACGGCUCACCUAGGCCACGAUGCAUAGCCGGCCUGAGAGGAUGAUCGGGCACACUGGGACUGAGACACGGCCCAGACUCCUACGGGAGGCAGCAGUAGGGAAUCUUCGGCAAUGGACGAAAGUCUGACCGAGCAACGCCGCGUGAGUGAAGAAGGUUUUCGGGUCGUAAAACACUGUUGGUAGAGAGGCGGUAUCUAACCAGAAAGCCACGGCUAACUACGUGCCAGCAGCCGCGGUAAUUC